UACGUAGGGACCAAGCGUUGUUCGGCUUUACUGGGCGUAAAGGGCGCGUAGGCGGCAAUUCAAGUCAUCUGUGAAAUCUCCGGGCUUAACCCGGAACGGUCAGGUGAUACUGUUUUGCUAGAGUGCGGAAGGGGCAAUCGGAAUUCUCGGUGUAGCGGUGAAAUGCGUAGAUAUCGAGAGGAACACCAGAGGUGAAGACGGGUUGCUGGGCCGACACUGACGCUGACAGCGCGAAAGCCAGGGGAGCAAACGGG
rnacentral:rRNA from 1 species